UAAAGAGAGGAACUGGGAAACUGGCACAAGAGUUGGUUAUUAGGUAGCCAUGGAUCAGAAGAUUUCUUCUUCUACUUGCAUUUCCUAUGUCACGACGGGUGUCUUGUUGGAAAAGUUAGUGAAUGCUAAAAGGAUGGACAUUCACUAACUCACGUCAUAAUUGAUGAACAGCAGCACUCGAUGAUACAUUUAUUCAUUCCCUGGAGUGUGCAGACACUUCACGCAAGCAUACUCGGAGAUCAAACAUGGAACAUAAAUUAAUAUUCAAUAAAAUGUGUAACAUAAAAACAUUAGAAGAUUAUAAACAUUAGAACAUUAACAUGGUUCAUGAAAGAGACCAAGAAGUUGAUUUUGCUCUUCUGAUAGUGAAGAAAUUUCUAAAGUUGAAUUCUCCUCGAG